ACUGUUGCCCUGCACCGCUUCAUUUUGUGCAGCCUGAAAGGGGCAAUCACAUAAGGUCGGUUUUGUAAUAUACAGGUAACAUACAGGUAAUGUACCCUCCACAGGGGGUGCUGCCUUAGGCCGGCCCCGAGGUGCGGCCUUGGGUGGGAACAACCGUUUUUUCCCCCCUCUCCCCUCCCCGACCCCAUCAACAUCGUGCGACAGUCCGGGCAGUUGAGAAGGCCACCCCGCUUCGUGCCUGCAGCCCAGCUGGGUGUGAUGGCAGGCGCCUGUAGUCCCAGCUACUCGGGAGGCUGAGGCAGGAGAAUCGCUUGAACCCAGGAGGCGGAAGUUGCAGUGCGCCGAGAUCACGCCAGUGCACUCCAGCCUGGGCGACAGAGUGAGACUCCGUCUCCCCGCUCCCCCCAAAAAAGAAAGAGGACAUGUACUUGUAGACAGGAUUCAAAGCAGUUAAGAAUGUCUCUGCCAAGUCGACAAACAGCUAUUAUUGUUAACCCUCCUCCACCAGAAUAUAUAAAUACUAAGAAAAAUGGGCGAUUGACAAAUCAACU
rnacentral:lncRNA from 10 species